CCUACGGUAGGCAGCAGUGAGGAAUAUUUGUCAAUGGACGAAAGUCUGAACCAGCCAAGUAGCGUGAAGGAUGACUGCCCUAUGGGUUGUAAACUUCUUUUAUCUGGGAAUAAAAUGUUCCCCGAGUGGGAUUUUGUAGGUACCAUAUGAAUAAGGAUCGGCUAAAUCCGGACCAGCAGCCGCGGUAAUACGGAGGAUCCGAGCGUUAUCCGGAUUUAGUGGGUUUAACGGGAGCGGAGGUGGAUUGUUAAGUCAGUUGUGAAAGUUUGCGGCUCAACCGUAAAAUUGCAGUUGAAAAGGGCAGUCUUGAGUACAGUAGAGGUGGGCGGAAUUCGUGGUGUAGCGGUGAAAUGCUUAGAUAUCACGAAGAACUCCGAUUGCGAAGGCAGCUCACUGGACUGCAACUGACACUGAGGCUCGAAAGUGUGGGUAUCAAACAGGAUUAGAUAACCCAGUAGUC
rnacentral:rRNA from 1 species